rnacentral:rRNA from 1 species
UACGGAGGAUGCAAGCGUUAUCCGGAUUCAUUGGGUUUAAAGGGUGCGUAGGCGGGCUAUUAAGUCAGUGGUGAAAUCCUGCAGCUUAACUGCAGAACUGCCGUUGAUACUGAUAGUCUUGAGUUUGGUUAAGGUAGGCGGAAUGUGUAAUGUAGCGGUGAAAUGCUUAGAUAUUACACAGAACACCAAUUGCGUAGGCAGCUUACUGAGCCUACACUGACGCUGAGGCACGAAAGCGUGUGGAUCAAACA